GUGCCCUGAAUAUAAAACAUAGGGUAAAGUACCUUUAGUCGUACCAGCGCUUAAGUCGUACCACGUCGAUAUCUGCGCACCCGUCAUGAAAAGGUGGCAUCUAGCAGUGCAAUAUGGUUCUACUAAGUACCACGGAUAAACAGCAACGCGCGGCGGCUUGCCGGAAUUCGCGAUCAAAAAAUAAUGAAAAAGUGAUCAAUAUGGCAAAGAAAAUUUAUAACUCUUGGAAGCAAGAUGACAUAGAUGAACACAAAAAGGAACACAAUUCACAAAUAAAAAAAGAAAGAUAGACAGAAAGAUAAGAAAUUAGAUGCUAAAGAAAAUUGGUUGUGCAAACUAACAACACUAAACAAGAUCGCAAAGAAAAUAUGACCCUAUGUAUUAAAUGCAAAGGAUGGGUACAUGAUUUAUGUGCAGAUCUCGAAAUUAAAACUAAAAAUUACAUUUGUGAUAUAUGCAUUUAAAAAA